rnacentral:lncRNA from 1 species
CAGGAGGCCCCCCUGUUGCUGUGCUUGUCAGGAGGUCCAGACCACGAAAUUGCCCAGCAGCUGCCUCAAUAGCCUGGAGAGCUUGGAGCCCCCGCUCCAGCCUGGAACAUCUCCAGCCCAGACAGGUCAGCUGCAAAGCACACUAGGAGGAAGGGGACCUAGCCCGGAGGGCUACCUGGUGGGAAAUCAGCAGGCCUGGCUUGCCCUCAGGCAACACCAGCGACCCCGUUGGCACCUGCCGUUUUUUUCCUGCCUGGGAACCAGUCCUGAAUCCUAAGGAGCCUGGGACCAGGAGCCAGAAAGUUAAGAGCUCCCCAUCUCUAGCUGGAAAAUCCAGACAUUUGGAAUUGCAUAUUAAGGAAGCCCAGAACUGGAAGCUUGGAGGAAAGCAUACUGGAGAAUAAGCUACAAAGAGCCUGGGCUUAAGAAUCCAAGAUUAGGGGCUGGGCGAGGUGGCUCACGCCUGUAAUCCAGCACUUUGGGAGACCGAGGCAGGCGGAUCAUGAGGUCAGGAGAUCAAGACCAUCCUGGCUAACACGGUGAAACCCUGUUUCCACUAAAAAUACAAAAAAUUAGCCGGGCGUGGUGGCGGGUGCCUGUAGUCCCAGCUACUCGGGAGGCUGAGGCAGGAGAAUGGUGUGAACCUGGGAGGCGGAGCUUGCAGUGAGCUGAGAUCCAGCCACAGCACUCCAGCCUGGGUGACAGAGCAAGACUCUGUC